rnacentral:rRNA from 1 species
UCAGACGAUGCGUCAUGCAUAUCAAUAAGCGGAGGAAAAGAAACUAACAAGGAUUCCCUCAGUAACGGCGAGUGAAGCGGGAAGAGCUCAAAUUUGAAAUCUUGAAAGGUCACCUUUCACGAAUUGUAGUUUAAAUGAAGUGUUUUCUGUUACGAUCGUAAUAUAAGUUCUUUGGAAUAGGACAUCACAGAGGGUGAGAAUCCCGUCUAUGAUUGCGAUUUGUAGCUUUGUGAUACACUUUCAAAGAGUCGGGUUGUUUGGGAAUGCAGCCCAAAACGGGAGGUAAAUUUCUUCUAAGGCUAAAUAUUGGCGAGAGACCGAUAGCGAACAAGUACCGUGAGGGAAAGAUGAAAAGAACUUUGAAAAGAGAGUUAAAUAGUACGUGAAAUUGUCAAAAGGGAAGCGUUUAACACCAGUGUUGUUUUCUGAAAAUCAACCUCUGUUAGCUUUAUGCAUGUUUGUUUAGACCUAAUCAGCUAUCUUGCAUGUUCUAUUGUUUGCAGUGGUGCACUUUUCAGUUUACAGGUCAACAUCAGUUUUUUUUACCGUAAAAAAGUUAAAGAAAGGUAGCUCAUGGCUCCGGUCGUGAGUGUUAUAGUCUUUUUCCUAUGCGGUAGGAGAGACUGAGGUCUGCAGUGUAGGCUAUUUGGCUAGAUACUCAGGUGCUAUGUGAUACCAUUUCAUAAACAACUUGUUGAUUAUGUUUUGUCUAUUGCAUACUCGCUUGUACUAUCAUACCUACGCUUAGGAUGUUGACUGAUAUGUAGUCGUA